rnacentral:rRNA from 1 species
GAUCAUGGCUCAGGACGAACGCUGGCGGCGCGCCUAACACAUGCAAGUCGAACGAGCGAGAGAGAGCUUGCUUUCUCGAGCGAGUGGCGAACGGGUGAGUAACGCGUGAGGAACCUGCCUCAAAGAGGGGGACAACAGUUGGAAACGACUGCUAAUACCGCAUAAGCCCACGACCCGGCAUCGGGAAGAGGGAAAAGGAGCAAUCGCUUGAGAUGC